GUACGGCUAAUGCUGGAAAAUGGAAAUAGUUGCUUCAGUGUUGCACCUACUGAAAACUAGUGCUACCAUGACUUGGAAGACAUUAUAUUUUCAGUUAAGAGCUGUCCUGCGAACACAACCGCCUGACCAAUCUGCCCUAAGCCAAUCCUCGGGAUGUCUGGGCUCAAACUUGUCCAGACAUCCACAGACUGGGGAAGUUUGUAUGUCGCAGCUGCCAUAUGCA